CACGUAGGGUGCGAGCGUUGUCCGGAAUUAUUGGGCGUAAAGAGCUCGUAGGCGGUGUGUCGCGUCGGCCGUGAAAACCUGCAGCUUAACUGUGGGCUUGCGGUCGAUACGGGCAUCACUGGAGUUCGGCAGGGGAGACUGGAAUUCCUGGUGUAGCGGUGAAAUGCGCAGAUAUCAGGAGGAACACCGGUGGCGAAGGCGGGUCUCUGGGCCGA
rnacentral:rRNA from 1 species